UACGUAGGGUGCAAGCGUUAAUCGGAAUUACUGGGCGUAAAGCGUGCGCAGGCGGUUAUGUAAGACAGAUGUGAAAUGCCCGGGCUUAACCUGGGAACUGCAUUUGUGACUGCAUGGCUAGAGUUUGGCAGAGGGGGGUAGAAUUCCACGUGUAGCAGUGAAAUGCGUAGAUAUGUGGAGGAACACCGAUGGCGAAGGCAGCCCCCUGGGUCAAGACUGACGCUCAUGCACGAAAGCUAGGGGAGCGAACAGG
rnacentral:rRNA from 1 species